rnacentral:ribozyme from 1 species
CAACAAGAAGUGAAAACACCACAAGUAAAUGAAUGAACAUUUAGUUUUCGUUCUUUUGCUCUUUUUUAUUCUUUCCUUCAU